UUAAAAAUUUUGAGCUUAAAUCUCAUCAAAUUCCUUAAGAUAUAGCUCAAAAUACAACCACUAGUGAAUCGAGUCACUUGCAAGCAUUUAUUUCAAUCUCCAAUAUCUCUUUUUUUUCAACUUAGAAUCUAUAAAAAAAUAUAUUAAAAUUAUAGCCAAAAAAGUGCUCUCUUCAAUUCCAAUUGCCAAUGCUUUAUUACUUUCUAUACACACACGUUAUGUCCAAAAGAAUGAUUGUAGAUACAAAAUCAAUAUGUUAACUUUGAAUAUCCAUAUCUCUUUCAUAUAAACUCCAAAUCAUACAAAAUUUGUACCAAAAUCAUAGCCAAAAAUCUAAAAUUAUUGAUCAUAGCCUCUAAAACUCAAAUGACUCCA
rnacentral:lncRNA from 1 species